GGAAAGACUACAGGAUUCCCCUAGUAACGGCGAGUGAAGCGGGAAUAGCUCAAAUUUGAAAUCUCAUAGGGUUACCUGUGCGAAUUGUAGUUUAGAGAAGCGUUUUCGGGGGUGACUUGGGUAUAAGUCCUCUGGAACGGGGCAUCAUAGAGGGUGAGAAUCCCGUAUAUGAUCCAAUGUUCACUCCUAUGUGAUACGCUUUCCAAGAGUCAGGUAGUUUGGGAUUGCUGCCUAAAAUGGGUGGUAAAUACCAUCUAAAGCUAAAUAUUGGCGAGAGACCGAUAGCGAACAAGUACCGUGAGGGAAAGAUGAAAAGAACUUUGAAAAGAGAGUUAAACAGUACGUGAAAUUGCCAAAAGGGAAACGCUUGAAACCAGUAUUGCCUGUACGUAAUCAGCCGUGGGGCCUGAAAGGGUUAUUGCGGUGCACUUUCGUGUAGGCAGGUCAACAUCAGUUUGGUUCCAGGGAAAAAGUUGGAGGAAGGUAGCUUGGUACUUCGGUAUCUCGUGUUAUAGCCUCCAAUCCUACCUGGGACUGGACUGAGGUCUGCAGCGUUAUUUGGGUACCCGAUCGCCUUCUGAGCCUUGUUUCUAGACAGCACGCUGACUAGAGGCAAGUUUAGGGAGCCCGGUUGGUUCAUCACACCAACGCUUAGGAUGUUGACGAAAUGGUUUUAAACGACCCGUCUUGAAACACGGACCAAGGAGUCUAACAUAUAUGCGAGUAUUUGGGUGGCAAACCCUUAUGCGAAAUGAAAGUGAACUUAGGUGGGAUCUUUAUUGUGCACCAUCGACCGGUCUGGAUUUUUUUGAUAGAUCUGAGUAAGAGCAUAUCUGUUGGGACCCGAAAGAUGGUGAACUAUGCCUGAAUAGGGUGAAGCCAGAGGAAACUCUGGUGGAGGCUCGUAGCGAUUCUGACGUGCAAAUCGAUCGUCAAAUUUGGGUAUAGGGGCGAAAGACUAUC
rnacentral:rRNA from 1 species